UUUUAUUUAAAAAAUUCAAUAUAAUAAAAAAGGGAAUCAAUAUUAAAGAUAUACUGAAAUUAUAUGCUGUCUUGUUUAGUUGUUUCAUAUACGCAAAGGCCGUCGGGUUUUAAAUCCAUUAUAAAAUCAAUAUUUAAAACAAACUUACCUUCGUUAACGUCGGCUCCCUUCUUUUAGCCGAUUCUUUCGCCCUUUCUUUAUGAG